AUGAUGCCAACUCUAUGAAUAUAUAAAUAUCACUGAAUUGUAUAAAAGCAUACCUCAGAGAUACUUUGUGUUCAGUUAUAGACCACUACGGUAAAGCAAAUACUGCAAUAAAACAUGUCACAUAACUCACACCUGUAAUCCCAGCACUUUGGGAGGCCGAGGUGGGCGGAUCACCUGAGGUCAGGAGUUCGAGACCAGCCUGGCCAUUGUUACAUUCUUAAUAGCAUCUAGAAUGGUGAAUCCUUUUCAGAAAGUUUUCAAUUUACUUUGCCCAGAUCCAUCAGAGGAAUCACCACCUAUGGCAGCUAUAGCCUUAGA
rnacentral:lncRNA from 1 species